rnacentral:ncRNA from 1 species
GAUUUAUUAAAUUUAAUUUAAAUUUAUUUUACAUGUAAAUUUUAGUGUUAACUUUUAAUUAUUUUAAUAAUAAUUAUUAACAUUUGCAGUAAUUUGAAUUAAAUAUUUAAGAAAUUAAGAUUUAGUAAUAUUUAAAUUCAUUAACAAAUUUUGUGCCAGCAGUUGCGGUUAUACAAAAAAUGAUUUAAAUUUUAUCAGUAUAUAAUAAAUAAAAUUAUUAUUUAAAUUAAAUAUUAAAUUAUUAGGUGAAAUUUUAAUUUAAUUAAAAUUUAUAUAAAUUUUAUGGUUUAUUAAAUUUUUUUAAAAAACUAGGAUUAGAUACCCUAUUAUUAAAAAUUAAAUUUAUAAUACUAAAAUAGUAGGUAAUUAUUUAUUGAAACUUAAAUAAUUUGGCGGUAUUUUAGUUCAUUUAGAGGAAUCUGUUUAAUAAUUGAUAAUCCACGAAUAAAUUUACUUAAUUUAUUAUUUUGUAUAUCGUUGUUAAAAAAAUAUUUUUUAAUAAAAAUAAUAUUUUAAAAUUUUUAUUUAAAAUUAAUUCAGAUCAAGAUGCAGAUUAUAAUUAAGAAUAUAAUGGAUUACAAUGAAUAAAUUUAAAUGAAUAAUAUUUUUUAAUAAAUAUUUGAAGGUGGAUUUAAAUGUAAUUUUAAUUAAUUUAUUAAAAUGAUUAUAUAUUAAAAUAUGUACAUAUUGCCCGUCGCUUUCAUUAAUAAAUUGGAAUAAGUCGUAACAAAGUAGAGGUACUGGAAAGUGUUUCUAGAAAGAA